UGGUUACUUUGGCAGCCUAUACUCUAAAAUUGGAAUGAUAGAAGUUUAGCAUGGCUCUGCUCAAGAAUUAUAUGCAAAUUUGUGAAACAUUUCAUAUUUUU
ensembl:snRNA U6 U6 spliceosomal RNA